CCUGGGACAAGCUAUGCCUCAGCCCACCUGCUUGCUUCUUCCAAAGCACCACCCACUAUCUGGCUGACCACAGCCAGGCUCUACUGAAGAUGGGCAGAAAGGAACAAGGAAAAAUUUCCAAGGUCCUCCAUGUGUCACCAUCCCUUGCUGAUUCAUACCACAUUAUGCUUUUUUAAUGACCAUGAUUGAAUUAUCCAUUAACAAUCACAAAGGAAAAUUAAUUCCUGCCUGGGUAAGUCUGAUGACCAGAGCUCUGAGCAAAGAAAAAGUGAAACAAAAGUUGGUUGUAAACAAGGAAGAAUGGUUUCUGUAGGGUUUAAAAUGUGCCGUUCCUUGGAUGCUGGGGAACCAAGCAGUGCUGUGUGGUUGAUGUGUGGUCUUGGUUUGGGAGCUUCUUGGGAGUGCAGGUCUCCAGUGUGCUGUUAUAGGCCAGAACAGACUGUGUCUGAAGCUCUGUGUUGGUUUUCUCCUCUAGGGACCACAAAGAACCCAAGUUGGUUUUCUUUAAGGAGCUUUUUCUUGUCAUGAUCCAAGCAGGAGUGUCGUGGCAGCAGAGAACUGAACUGCUCAGCCUGUAACUCAUUGAGCAGGGCUGCCUCUUGGAUAGACAAGGUUGGUGUGGCACCUGGGACUAGGACAGUCCCCAUCACAGGGCCGAACUGUGGAGCUGGGUCUGGCUGACUCCUCACACACCACACACGUUCCCUCGGCCCAGCUCUCAAGCCUUCUCCUUCCCAGAGGAGCAGAGUGCCUAUGGAUGGCUCAGGAAUCUCCAGUCCUCAUACAGUAGCUGCCUCUAUCACAGAGGCUUUGCAUCUGUAGCUGUUCCCUUUGGGCUCAUAGAGAUACCCUCCUGCAACUCAAAGAGAUGCAUGUAGCCUCCAGUGCACGCCUUGCACUGUUGUCAGAUUCUGUAAGGCCUUGCUGAGGUCCCUCUGAUGCACUGCAGAUAUCUGGUUCAUAUAUUGCUCUCCAAUGUAUGCUUUCCCCUGCUCUUUUUUUUUUUUUUUCCCCAGGAAAUGAGCUUUUUAGCAGCUACACGGGUGUUACUGUGGUGACUGUAACCAGGCAAAAACGUACCAUUCGUAUUGAGAUGGUUCUACAGUUGUGGACUUGGAUACGAUUAAGAGAUUUCUAAAGGCGUGCAGUUCUUUUUUUUUUCUUUUCCCUUCCCUGCAAAACAGAAAGAGAUUUCUAACAAAUUUCUAGUUACAAAGUAUGAAGUGGAAAUGCAUGAUUCAUCUUCAAAAGCAUGCGUGUAUUAGUUUAUAUAUAAACACACACAUAUUAUGCACACAAAUGCCGUGCCUUUUAGCUAGCUAGAGAUUUUAAAGAGCUUUUAACCAAGCAUAACUGAGAUUUUUUGGAUGUUUGGGCUUUGCAUUUCUUUAUGCUUCAUUUGGUUUUCUUGUUAAAUUUGAUUUUAACUUAAAACGUCCAAGGGUUAUAGUUUCUGGGCCUCGAACAAUUACAUUAUCUCUGCAGUAUAUUUUACUGUAAAUCACUGCUGUGUAGCCUUAACAUUGCCUCCAUCUUCAUUUUUCCUCCUGUUGUUUAACGUCGUUUCCCCGCUCUGUGAGGUUUUUGAGGAGACAGCAUUCCAUUCUGUGACUCUCACCUGGUGAGUGCCUUUCCAAAGGAAGGUAAGGAUGUGCUGUCUGAAAGAUGUCAUUAUUACUCUCAAAAAACAGAACAAAAAUGUAUCAUUUUGUCUUAUUUUCCCAGAGAAACAAAAUAGGACAAGGGCAGCAAUUAAUGAAAAAUAGGAUUGUAGUGCAAACCCAAAAUCUUAAUAUAAUGAUAAUUGCAUAUUAAUCCUAGCCAUUAACCACGAGCUGCUAUUUUCCUUCAGUGUGCAGCUCUCUCUGAAAUCGUAGUGAUGUUAGUAAUGUACAAAACUGAUAUAACUCAAAACUGAUAAUCUGCUUCUCUAGGCUUGUUUAAGACAAAAAGACAUAAUCACCAAACACCACAUCUCUCAGAGUACCCAUUUCUGUUGACUUACAAGCUAACAGAACUGACAUGAACGUCUUUUAUAAUACAGCCUGCGUUCAGCCAACAGUGACACAGAACUGAAGAGUAGGAGGCACCCUUUGAUCAGAUAGUUUGAAUGCUUUCCUAUUAAAACCAUUGCUCUUUACCUGCUUUAUUUAUUGCCAAGCCUGGUAGCUCAUGUGUGACAGCAGUGGAUUCCUGGUAAGGCAUUGGGCCUUCAGGGGGAUGCUGGGGAGGAGAAUGCUGAGGUGGGGAGUUGCUUCAUUCAGCCCUUUGCUCAGCUGUAAAGACUCCUUUUCAUUACAAACCCAUACAACUUAUUUUCACUUUCACUGCAGGUAUUACAGAGAGGACAAGGAGCAGUUUAGUCUGUUUCAUGAAGAGCUCUGCUCUGCUCUUAGUUCACUGUUGCCUUGACAGGGGAACUCUGACUGUGAUUCUAUGAAAAUGUGUGAACUUUGUCUCCUCUGUCAGUUAUAUUUAUCUGAUGAGAAUUAGCAAAAGCAAAUCUAGAACGAUGAAGUACCAGAGAGGAAAGGCAGAAAACAAGCAAUGGAGAGACGUACAUGUUGCAUGAUUCUUCCCUGGUAGGAAAGAUCUUGCACACACACAGAAAAGAAAAUUAAGUCUUCCACACAAUGGAUUGGUUUCCUUUAGAAAUCUUGCUCCAGGCUGAAUACUGGCAGGUAUGAAUACCACUCAACAUAAUGAAAGGAGGGACGCCCUCUUAUAGAGCUCGUUACUGGGAUUUGCUCUGGAAAAAGUUUUGAGAGGGCAUAAAGGAGGCUGACCCAGCAGCCACUCCCAGCACCAAGCACUGACCAAAAGAUGCCUCCAUGAAUCUUAAUUCCUCACCUAAAGGAGAAGGGUGAGAAAUCCUGUAUACCAGCCCUGCACAGCACCAUGCGCUCUUCCACCCUUCCAGCUCACAUAGGGUGACCUACAAACACACCUAUCUUCCUCUUUUCAGUAAUUAAUUCAAGAGAAGUAACCCUCAAACUGAGCAGCGAACUGAGCACUACUACAAGUCCCUACUACUUGUUUUGAUUUCAUUAUUCCCUCUGUCUUUUCAAGUCGGUCGCAUUGUUAUUUUGCUCUCGGGGAGCCUCGCUCCAUUUUGAGUUUUGUUCUGCUCAGGCUUUUCCAUUCAGACUGUCAUAACCUGCUUGUGCCACAACACAUGAUUUCAUUUUGUCUGGAGGCAGCUGGACUGACAAUACUGUUUCGCCAUUUCGGGCAGUUUUCAGAGAUCUGCAGUGUCAGAACAAUUUGUGUUAUUUUUUUUAUUACGUCUAUUACUUCUUCAAAAGAAGAAGUAAUAUUAUCUAACAUGCAAAUGGCAAAUAGAAGCAUUCUUGAAAUUUAUACUUGGUGCAGAUUUUCAUGUCCUCUUCCUUCAAUCAUUACUAAAAUUAGAAGAUUAAAAACCUUUAUGGAGGAUGAAGACCUGGCUGAGACUGAAGAUAAUUCCUACUUCUGGCUUUUUUCCUCGAGGAAUGUAUUUAUUACAGAAAAAGAGUCAAUUUUUAAGUAGGAAAUGAACAGAUUUAGAAAUGUUAUGCAUAUGAAUUGCAUUGUUUUGUUACUGUUUAAGACAUUAAAAGUU